GUGCAAAAGGCAAGAAGAAAGUUGACAGGCAUGUUAUGAAUUGAUAACCAAGACAAUGAUGAAGUUAAAGAUGACCCUGACCCACAAGACUUUGUGAAGUUGAAUUAGAUUUUAGAUACAUAGCGACCUAAUAUACACCAAAGAUACAUAAAAUAGAAGCGUAUGAUGACGAAACAUAUGGAAAAUUCAUGGCUUUACAAAUUAAUUACGAACUUCUUUCUAGCAACAAGAUAAUAGACUAAAAAGUUUAAAUCUACCCCCUCUUCCUUUUAUGCUGGAACAGCUUCAACAAGCCUCGCAAAAUAAAAUUGUGUAGUGAUCAGGCCUCUCUUUCUUAUCCUCCACCCAACCUUCUUCAAUGCUCUCUCCACAUCCGCCUCUGCAUGUAGAUAUGCUCUCGUUGCCUUUGAAGGCCCGGGAAACAACUCCCCUACUCUCUUUAAUAGAUCAUAGUAAAAUGUCCUUGGUGCAAAACUCAAAAUCAGUCGAUUCUCUGCCAAAGAUGCAAGAUGGGCAAUCAUCCCAUCUGCUUUACUCUGUGGGUAAUGUAUCAAAACGUCUAGGCAUACUACAGUUUCAUACUUCCCAUCUAAGCUCUCUAGAUCCUUCACUUCAAAUUUCGGCAACACAGGUGCCGCAUUUUCACCGACUGCUAAAAGCUGCUCUUUUGCUUGCUUCUCAGCCUCCGCCACCAUAGCAGCCGAGAUGUCGCUUGCGGAAACAAUCGCUCCUUCUUUGGCCAAGGGAAUCGCCAGAGACCCUGUACCACAACCUGCGUCACAAACAGUGACUCCUUCCAGUGAACCUUUGUCUUUCAACAUCUUCAACACAUUCUCCACCGUCUUCGAGUGGCCCAGCCUAAUGUCGAGCUGUACCCGAUUAACAUCAUCCGUCUCUCCGUAAAUCUUCUUCCACCGCUGGAAUCCGGAAUUGUUGAAGUACUCUUUAACCACCUCCUUAUCGCCGCCCCCGACUUCCUCAGCCUGGAGUCGGCGCCGACGCUCGGGGUCCGUAAGGGAGAGAGCGGCGGCUAACGCAGCAACAGAGCCUCCACCAAUGACGGCGAGGGUAGGGCCAUCAAAUAAGGAUAGGUCGGUGGCGGAGGCCGUGCUGAGGGAAGUAAUGGAGGCUACGGUUACGGUUCUGGUCGUUUUUGGUUUGGAAGAAAGACGAGAGAAUCUAGGUUUGGUAGCGCGGAAGGUAGUUGGAGCGAAUAGGGGCGACGCAUACGCCAUUUUAGUAUUUCUCUCUCCGGCCGGCGAGGAGAGAGCAGCCAGACACUUGAAGAUUGGGGAGGUAGUUAAUUGGUAGUGUUCU
rnacentral:misc_RNA from 1 species